rnacentral:lncRNA from 1 species
GAUAUUCCAAGCAGUGCUCCAAUGUUAGCACAGCCGCCUGGGGCCUCAAACACCUCUGGGAUCCUGUGCGUGCAGAGACCAAACGUAUCAAGCAAUUCUGAAAUUCUGGGGGUUCGUCCAGCCAAUGUUUCCAACAGUGCUGCGAUUAUGGGAGCCCAGCCACCAAAUAUGCUCAAUAACUCUGGAAUUUUGGGCAUACAGCCACCAAAUGUGUCCAGUGGCUCUGGACUUCUUGGGGUACUGCCUCCAAACUUGCCUAACAACUCUGGACUUGUAGGACUACAGCCACCAAAUGUUACAAAUCCUGCUGGACUUUUGGGAACACAGCCACCAAUUGGACCUCAAAACUUACCCCCUUUAACCAUCCCUGCUCAAAGGAUGCCUGCGUUGCCAAUGUUAGACAUUCGUCCGGGACUGAUAGCACAGGCUCCUGGGCCAAGAUUCCCUUUACUACAGCCUGGAAUUCCACCACAACGGGGUAUCCCUCCCCCAUCGGUACUUGACGCAGCUCUUCAUCCACCACCCCGUGGACCUUUUCCUCCAGGGGAUCUUUUUAGUCAGCCAGAAAGACCUUUUCUGGCUCCUGGAAGACCAAAUAUAGACAGUGUUCCUAACCCAGAUAAAAGAAUACCACUUGGGAAUGACAAUAUCCAGCAGGAAGGGGAUAGAGAUUACCGCUUUCCUCCUAUAGAAACCAGGGAGGGCAUUAAUAGACCUCCUCCAGUGGAUGUUAGGGAUGUGGUUGGACGACCUAUAGAUCCCAGAGAAGGCCCUGGAAGGCCUCCGUUAGAUGGUAGGGAUCAUUUUGGAAGACCUCCAGUGGACAUGAGAGAGACUCUUGUGAGGCCAGGUCUAGACCACCUUGGCCGAAGAGACCACUUUGGCUUUCCCCCAGAAAAGCCUUGGGGGCCUAGAGAUUUCGAUGAGAGAGAGCACCGAGUUCUGCCUGUCUUUGGUGGUCCAAAGGGCUUACAUGAAGAAAGAGGCAGAUUUCGGGCUGGAAAUUAUCGAUUUGAUCCUAGAAGUGGUCCUUGGAACAGAGGAUUUGGACAAGAAGUUCACAGAGAUUUUGAUGACCGCAGAAGACCCUGGGAGAGGCAGAGGGAUAGGGAUGACAGAGAUUUUGAUUUCUGCAGAGAAAUUAAUGGGAAUCGUCUUGGACGAGAUAGAAUUCAAAACACUUGGGUUCCCCCUCCUCAUGCUCGGGUUUUUGAUUAUUUCGAAGGGGCCACUUCUCAACGGAAAGGUGAGAAUGUGCCUCAAGUUAAUGGUGAAAAUACAGAGAGACAUGCUCCGCCACCGCCUUUGCCAGUGCAGAAGGACCCUGAACUCUAUGAGAAGCUGGCGUCUUCAGGAGACGCAGACAAGGAGGAGAGCGGCACAGCUGCUGGUGUAGAGAGUGAAGCGGUGGUAGAAAGCACAGAGACUGAGGGGACAUAACAUCGCUCAGUAGGCAAGGUGAUGAAUGAAGUCCUGGCAGCUUCCAGUGUCCCAGGCCUUGUAGAAAUAAGUGAGACAGACGUGCUUCAAAGUUCUAAUGAGCGUCACAGCGGAAGCAUUAAAAGGAGCCCCGCCGUUGCCUGUUGAGAAGGCUCUGUGCUCUCAGGCGCGGUUUCCGAUUGAAUGCAGAGGUCACACGCAUGCCUCCCUCUAUUACCUGUCGGAGCAGGUUUAAUUUUAUAAAUUCUAGACACAAACUCUAUGAGUUUCUAGUUCAUAGUUGUUCUUUUUGAGGAUCCACUCAGACGAACAGUAUUACAUCCGUAAGAGAUACGCACUCCCACUGCCCACAACUAGUUGGGGAAUCACUGGCGGACGAACUCCAUCAGUAGCAUCGCCCGGUGCCUGAUGGGAAGGACAGGAGGGCGAGGAAACCCUCCCCGGAGAGUCGUACAGCCGGCCAGAACCAUAGUGUUACUUACUACACCAGCGAUCUUUUUUUUCCUUGAACACAGUAGCUUACUACUACUGGAAAGCCAUGUACAAAAGCCUGGCCGUGGCUUCAGUCCAUUGUUAUUACUUACUUUCGUGAGCACUCAAAAACUCUGAAAGUUGUUCAGAGUUUCAUUUUUUUUAAAAAUCCUUUUUAAUGCAUCUUUGAGAAAAAUCCAGGGUUCAGCACACCACCCUGAACCUUUUGCUCCGGCCUUCUUGUCCUGUCAUGCACGCAGCAGGCGUGCUGGCCGAGAUGAGAAACCUUGUGGGACAGGAAGGGAAACUGAUAAUCAGGCCUACUGCAUGGUAGUUUACCGCACUUCAUGAAUUGAGGCAGAGAUGGUGACAGUCUGCUGCACCAGACCUGAUUUCUGCCUUUGACGACCACCAGUGUUCACACGAUACCUGGGGGGGGGACUUAAAAAUUCAAAUGUGAGCACCGUUUAUACCCAAAAGAGAUUAUUUUUAAUUAUUCUUUUGCUUGUUUUGUCAAAAAAAUUAAAGUGCUUGGAAUUCUUUAUCUGUGGUCCCUUGGAAUGUAAUCAAUGAGAACUCUAACCUCCAACAGUAUGAUCUCACUUUGGACAUUCAUAAUAAAAGCUGAAACUCGU